ACUGUAGAAAACAAGGGCAGCAAUUUUGUAUUCCUCUGGAUGUAGGCCGUUAGAAGCAACAGGUUCAUCUUGAUUGUUCGGGGUAGUCAUCUUAUAUCUUGUUGGCAGGCAUGAUACUCAGUAACUGAAAGAAAUAGUUAAAAAAAAAAAAGAAGAAGGAAUAGACAUAUAUAUUGAAAUAUAAAUGCUAAGCAUCUUGGCAUCUCAGUGAAUUUAAAUUUUGAGAGCAGUUUAUUGUUGAGAGUCAAUAUAUGUGUCUUAGUAUUUGUUAAGGAGCAUGUUCCCUAGAUAUUAUUACUAAUAUGUAGUGAACUAUUAAAGUGGAGUGUCAUAAUGUGCGAAUUUAUUCAUUUUUCUCUUUCUCUGCCCACCUUCCUCCUCUCCAGAAGAAUACCCUGUUUGUCGUGAUUUUUUACCAUAGUGUGAAAUUGGGUAGCAAUUGUUCCUAUAAUAAGCAUUUUUUGAUUUGGACGGAUUGGGAAAAGACCAUUCUGAAUUUUGAUUCCUAUAAAAUAGUUUGCCACUUUUUCUCAUACUCAUUCUGUUUAAAUAUUUUGUAACCCAGAUUAGUAAUGUCCUGAUAAUGAAUUUUUACUCAUUAAAUAUAAUUUUAAUGUACAAAAUAUAUAUUCGAAAACUAGUAAAGGAGCCACACAACUGGUUAAUUACUGAGCAUUUACAGUGAUUUUCACUUGAGGGAAGGACUGUUCUUUUUUCACUGUAUAUUGAGCACAUAGUAGGCACUCUGUAGUAUUUGCUGAAUUUGAUGGAAUGAGGGAAGGAAGGAACCUUUAGUGAGGUGACCUACAGCAGCCAUUCUCUAGUUGUCAGUGAAGACUUGCAUAGUUAGCCAUUCAGCCUUUUUGCUUCUUAAUGGCAAGCCCUUCUUUCAUAAUAUUAUCUUUUGUUUUCUUUAAAUUACCUAGAAACAGCUAUGUCUUACACUGCAGUUUCCAGAUCAAGAACUUGACUCUCGGAAAAACAGAUGAGCUUUUUUAUAAUGUACAAUUGUGUUUACACUAGAAGCUGACCUCAUCUGCUGCAGUAGUGCACAAAAAGCAACAGUGUAGGAGGACCUCGAAAAUAAUAUAUUGCCAGUAUUUUUUUUUAUACUAACUUUUCAUAGCCUCACUCUACUUAGACACGGAAGCUUAAGUAAUAUUUGUCAAAUUACAUUUUAAAAAUAUCAAAGACAAAUAAAUAUUAAGACGUCACUUCAUGUGCAUGCAGAAACAAAUUGCCAUUACUGAGAACUGUCCAUUUUUAAUGGAAAGGAGUUUAGUUGUGAUUCUAAAUACCACCGACCCCUUGGUGUUAAACUUCCAUCACCCACGAUGCAACACCAACAGAGGUGUUAAAAAUAGACUCAGUACAAAGGGAUGGGACCUGGUGGCACCCCCUUGAAAUGUGGAGGUGUAUGAAAAAACCCACUGCCAUUGAGUUGAUUCCAACUCAUAGCGACCCUAUAGAACAGAGUAGAACUGCCCCGUAGAGUUUCCCAGGAGCGCCUGGCGGAUUUGAACUGCCGACCUCUUGGUUAGCAGCUGUAGCACUUAACCACUACGCCACCAGGGUUUCCAGUGUAUGAAAAGUUUCCUUAAAAAUGUCACUUGGCAGAGGGGGUUGUCUCUAAUUCAGCCCUGAAUCUCUCUUUGGUGAAGACCAUGGGGGAGACUACAGUCUGUGAUAGGCGGUGUCAUGGGCUAUUGGUAAUUAAGAAUUAAUCUGAGAAAUUGCCGCGGACAAACACAAGAUAGGAGUUUUUCCUCUCUCUCCCUCUUUCUUUCCUCCCUUCCUUUGUUCCUUCCUUCCAUUCAUAUGCUCAAGUUUGAAAAAAAUGUGAGCAAUACUUGUGUUUAAAGGCAUUAUCAGUAUAGAUUGUGCUCUGCACACACAGAAGAAUUUUUGGAUAAAUACUGAAAAGUUAUUGGCUUUCAAAUCAGCUUUUUAAAAGCUUUAGGUUGUUCCAUGAUUAUCGGUAAGCGUUUUUUUUUUUCCUUAGAAACGAUUAAGUACAUUUCAUGAAACAAUGUAAUGGAAACCAUGUGACAAAGAGCCCUAAAUGUGUUUAUGAUUCGUUGUAUCAUUUCCUUAAACUGAGAAAAAAAAAAAAAUUACUAUUAAUGUCAAACAAUAUUGAAAAUAAAUGAAGAAUCAUGUUAGUAAUGCAGAAAGAUGAUAACAAUCCAUUUCAAGGUCUUUCACCAACAUAGUUUCAGUAAUGUAAAUAUUAUUAAAAUAAAAUAAUGAUUUUUUUAAAAUUUAGCAAAGCAUUGAUUCUGGUAAUGACCUAUGAGGAAGUUAAUUAAAUGCUCCUUACCUCCUUUCCAUCAAAAAGCUGUGUCAGAGAUGAACAUUUUUCAGUAUGCCCACUUCUGUAAAAGAGGUAUCCUUGGAUAAAAAAAAAAAAAAAAAAAAAAUCCUUGGAUAGCUGGUGUUAAAAUAGCACCUUCUGCAAAUGGUGAAUUUAUAAAAUGUUUUCUUUCUUUUGUUUUAGGUGCAUUUGUUGCUUUAAAAAGAUGUUUCAAACCUAACACUUGGUGUAGGAGUCGGUACCCAGUCCGCUGUAGUUGCUGCCUUCUUUCUUUCAGGAAGUGCUCAGAAAAAGUCUGGAAGUAAUUUCUGUUGCCUAAAGAUCUCUGCAAAUGUUAAGAGAAGACUCAGAGUCUUUACUGGAGUAGUUUACAUAUUAAGAGUAUUUUAGCCAAAAAAGGUAAGUGAAAGCACUGGAGAGGGAAGUGACAGCUCAAAUUGAGCAGUUGACUCGUUGCCUGCCUAAUUGUAUUUUUUUACUUUCUCUUUUUUUAAAAAAAAGUCUCAUUUUGCUUGUCUUAAAAUUUUAAUUAUUUUUAUAUUUGGUCGUGCAUGAUUUGUUAACUUGAAAAGAACAUUAACUGCAUUUGUGUUUUAAAUCGAGUCAAGUUUGAAGGCCGGUGCUGUUCCUUCUCAGACAAAUAGCAGUAAGUCUGUGACAAGUUAUAUAAAUCGUUGCCUUUGGAGAGAAGCUAAUAUGAAUCUCCUUUGCAUUGAUUUUAUAAACUAUAUAAAUUUGGCACUCCCCAAAUUCUUUUUCCCAAGCAGUUUUUCUGCAGCUUUAAAGCUUUAUAGACAGACAGACAGACAACCAGGCAGUUACUUACCUCACAGCAAAAGAAUGUGAUGUGGCGGUAAACCAGCUGAACCCAGCUAUAACCAAAGUGACAGGUAAUUCUAGUUGAAAUAGACCUAAAUCAGCAGUGAAAGUAGAGUUGCCCCCCCCAAAAUUAAAGACUGUCAGUAGGAAUAUCUUGGUAGGAGAAGGCUCGUAUAUGGCAGUGAAAUCAGUCCUGGGGCCACUGGAGUCCCCAGGCCAAGAGGUUGCAGUGUGAUGUUUCAGUAACAGUCAAAGUCCCCAGGACGGUUGAUUGAGUAGAAUCCUGUGGUAAUUGUGAUGUACAUGACUUCCUCCUACAAAUUCUGAUCUCACAGUUAAAGAAUGGGAAGACAUGGAGAUAAGUCUAUAGGAAAAACAUACCUGUAAUAUGAGGAAGUAGCAGCUUGGAAGAAAGAGUGAUUGUGGAGGAUGACAGUUGGUGAAGAAAUGAUGGAUGUGUUAUUUCAGUAUAAACCCAUAUACUAGUUACUAGUUAGUGUGUGUAUAAAACCAAAAAAAAACAAACCCAGUGCCGUUGAGUCGAUUCCAACUCACAGUGACCCUAUAGGACAGAGUAGAACUGCCCCACAGAGUUUCCAAGGAGCGCCUGGCGGAUUUGAACUGCCAGCCCUUUGGUUAGCAGCCGUAGCACUUAACCACUAUGCCACCGGGGUUUCCUGUGUGUGUAUAAAAAAAAAAUAUUAAAAGGUACCGCAUAUCUAUCAGAUUUAGUGGUUUAAAAAGAAUUACUUAGGAUUUUUUUUAUUAUCUCUGCCCUUAAUCUUAUCUAUAUUAUUGAAGGGAAACCCUGGUGGUGUAGUGGUUAAGUGCUACGGCUGCUAACCAAGAGGUCGGCAGUUUGGAUCCGCCAGGCACUCCUUAGAAACCAUAUGGGGCAGUCCUGCGCUGUCCUGUAGGGUCGCUAUGAGUCGGAAUCGACUCGACAGCAACGAGUUUGGUUUUUUUGGUUUGUAUUGUUGAAUUUUUUUUUUUUUUUGAAGGUGGUCAGAGUCGAAUAACCAUCAGGCAGCGUUGUCCAAGCUUUUCGAGCGUUAGCUAAUUUCUCUUCACGCCGACAGGGAAGUGUGCCGAGGGCACAAUAGCAGUAGUAUAUUUACUCAUGAUUCUCAAAUUGUAUGCUCUGUCUGUAUUUUGCAUUAUGUUAUUAUAUUUUGCUUUUGUAAUUUUUAUCGAAGUGGCCCCUACUUAAUGUGAGAGUCAUCAGAAUAGUAAUUUGACUUACAGCGAAAAGUCUCCUGAGGGAAUAGACCCUCCAUCUUUCUUUUCCUUGUUUCUCACUAAUGAGCUGGCAUUCCCAAGGAAAGGUUUUGUGGCCCGUAUUCUGUCAGCCUGUAAAUUUAAUUUUGGCGCCUAGGAAGAUCUCUGCUAUUCACUAUUUAUCAUUCUUUGAGAAUACCUCUUUAUGGCUCAUUGCUGAAAGGAAAAUGAUAGCUGCCUCAGAGUGGGGAGUUGGGCCAGGUGAUCUCUCAGGGUCCCAUUCAACUGAUCGUAGACUCAUGAAAUGUUAAAUGGGAAGUAACUGUACAAAUUACCUUUUAACAUCCUCAUUUUAUAGCUAGAAGAUAACUAAUGGCUGAAAUUAUUUAAGCAUGUUUAAUAGCAGAGCUGGGCUAAGAAUUACUUCGACUUCUGAUUCAUGGUUCUAUGAUUAAAAAGCAAAUUUUUUAAAAAUUCAGCCUGCGUAGAAUUUCAUUAGUUGGUUCCUCUUUCUUGAGGAUAUAUAUAAGCAUUGGAAAAGUUUUUGCGACCUACCUCAAAACUUAUAUCUCAAAAUUUAGCAUGCAUCCGAAUCUCUUAGCAUGUGUUAGAAUGCAGAUUCCUGGGCCCUAAGAAAUAUGAUCAGGGUGUUUGGGAUGUGGCCUUGGAGUCUGUAUUCUAACUAGUACCCAAGUGAUAAUGAAGCUGGUGGCCUGUGGUCUAGACUAUUGGAAACUCUGUCAAAGGUGUAGUUGGAAUUUGAGAGUUAAUCAUGAAGAGAAUUCCGGCAAAGACACACAACAGUUGAAUCAUCCAAGGCAAAAAUUGGUUCUUUGAAAAAGACUAAUAAUAAUGAUAAAUGAGACUGAUCAAUAAAGACAGAAAGCAUGAAUUUCUGAUAUCAGAAAUGAAAAAGGAGACAUCAGUACACAUCCUUCAGACAUUAAAUGGAUACAAAGGGACGGAGCCUUCUUUGUCAUGACCUCUCUCUGUUGACAGCUGUUAAAUACCCACAAAUGGAAUUACUAUCAAAAACGGGCCAGCUCUGGCCUCCUCUGGCUCUUUGCUCAUCUACACAGUGCAUUCUUCCUGGCACGUCAGGCCUGGAGAGGACUACUCUGAGCCGUUCAGUUAACCUCCACCAUUUUUUCUGGACCUUGGUUUCCUGGCUUUCUAAACCAUCAGUAUGAUCCCUGCUUUUGACUAUUUUGCUUUUAUAGUCCCAUUAGACUCCUAAGCCAGGUGCCCCCCCCCCAAAAAAAAAAACAAAGCGUUUUUUAUUUUGAAAAAUUGUCAAACACAUAGAAAUUUAAAAUGAAGUUUCUUGUUUAGCGUUCACCUAAACUCAUCAAUGGUUUAUAUUUGGCCAGAUUUGUGUCUGUGUCUGUGUGUGUCUCGUUCAAUAUGUGUCUAUGCAUCCAUAUUAUCAUUUUUGUUGAACCAUUUGAGAGUAAAUUAUAGACCUCAUGAUCUCUUACGCUUAAAUAUUUCUGCAUAUAUUUCCUAAGUACAAGAACAUUCUCUUAGGUGCUUAAAGUACAGUUAUCAAAUUCAAGAGACUUAACAUUGUUUCAGCAUUAUUCUCUAAUGUAUAGCCCAUAUUCACAUUUUGCCAAUUGUCUCAAUAAUGUCAUUAUAGCAUUUUUUUACCCCCAGAUCCGUAAUCACAUGUUGUAUUUAGAUGUCAGGUCUCUUCCUAAGCCAGCAUUUUAUACCUAUUUUUGACCAUUUAGGUUUUGUUGCCUCAAAUUAUUAUAUUACACAUUUAUAAUCUGAGCUGUGCGAAUCUCUUUCCUAGAUAUAACUGUCAGAGAUAAUCCAGCUUGGGUAGGACAGACCCAGAGACUGUUGCUUAAAAGAUCCAAGCUCUGGAUAGUUAGUCCCUCCUUCCAUAUCCUGCAGUAUGGUAGGGGCAGUGACAGCAAUGGAUUCACUUUAAUGGGGCACUUCCCACAGUGACUGCGAGGGCCGCCUACCUCAUUUGGGAACAGCCAAGGUUGACCUUAGAGCUUAACCCAUCCUUGGGCCUGUUUGUAGUUGCUUGUAAGUUGACGGCAGCUGUAAAGAGCAGUAAGCACACUACCUCCAUAGACUGAUACCUGUAGGGGAAAAUGACCGGUAGCAGAGUAAACAUUUUCUUGGAGCCUAAAACACUCAUCUUAGGUAGCGUGACCAUGACAUUGUGGUAUUUGGUACAUGUUUGCCAAUGGCACCCUCCCCCUUGAGGUAUUUUUGUAAGCAUGCUGUGCUUAUUUAUUUUUUACAGCAAACAUGUAAAAAAAAAUUGGCAUAGUAGCACUUAUGAAAAUACCUUGUGGGGGAACGGUACAGUUGGCAAACAAAUGUGGAAGGUAUGCAUUCGCGUAAAAAUGCAGUACUUCAAAUGGACGUAUUUCUAAAAAAAAUACACUGUAUUGACACUGACACUAGAAGCAUAGACCUCUAUUAAAAAAUUAAACUGUAAUUAAAACCCUUACCAUAAAGAACACUCUAGGCUAACAUGACUUCACCAGUGCACCUUACCAGAUAUUUAAGGAAGAAAUACCAAUCUUACAUAAAUUCUUCCAGAGAAUAGAAAAAGAGAGAGCGCUCUCCAGCUUCUUCUAUGAGACAGGCAUAACCUUGAUAACAAAACCUGCUAAGGAUUUCCCAAGACGGGAAAAUUAUAGACUGACCCUUAUAUAUGACCAUAGAUGCAAAAGUUCUGAACAGUAUUUUGAAAACCAAAUUCAGCAGCAUAUGAAAAGGGUAAUACAACAAAGUUGGAUUUAUUUCAGGACUGCAAGGUUUCUUUGAAAUUGAAUAUCAAUGUAAUUCAUCCUACUAUAAUAAUUAAGGAGACUACAAUAUGAUCACCUACAUGGAUGCAGAAUGUGUAAUUUGAUAAAAUUAAGCAUCCAUUCAUAAUUAAAAAAAAAAAAAAAAAGAUGGGGCUUUUCUUAACCUGAAAAAGGAUUCCUGCAAAAA